GGAAGCCGAGUUAGUUUGGAUCCACCAUGGCCUGGGCCCCCCUGCUCCUCGCCCUGCUCACUUACUGCUCAGGGGUCAGGUCACAGCCUGUGGUGACUCAGGAGCCCUCCAUGUCGGUGACCCCAGGAGGGUCCGUCACGCUGUCCUGCAGCCUGAGCACUGGAGCCAUCACCACCGGCAACUAUCCAGCUUGGUACCAGCAGAAACCUGGCUCUGUUCCUCUGAUGCUUAUUUAUGAAACUAAUAAGAGACCUUCUGGGAUCCCUGCCCGUUUCUCUGGGGCCAUAUCCAGUAACGAUGCUGCCCUGACCAUCACCGGUGUGCAGGCAGAGGAAGAGGGUGACUAUUACUGUAUGGUAUGGGCUGGUAGUGCGCACACAGUGAUAUAG